rnacentral:rRNA from 1 species
AUUGAACGCUGGCGGCAGGCCUAACACAUGCAAGUCGAACGAGUGGCGGACGGGGGAGUAAUGUCUGGGAAAAUGCCUGAUGGAGGGGGAUAAAUACUGGAAACGGUAGCUAAUACCGCAUACCAUCAGAUGUGCCCAGAUGGGAUUAGCUAGUAGGUGGGGUAACGGCUCACCUAGGCGACGAUCCCUAGCUGGUAUGAGAGGAGGACCAGCCACACUGGAACUGAGACACGGUCCAGAUUCCUACGGGCGGCAGCAGGGGGGCAUAUUGGACAAUGGGCGCAAGCCUGAUGCAGCCAUGCCGCUUGUGUGAAGAAGGACUUCGGGUUGUCAAGCACUUUCAGCGUGGAGGCGUUACCCGCAGAAGACGCACCGGCUAACUCCGUGCCAGCAGCCGCGGUAAUUC